rnacentral:rRNA from 1 species
CAGUCGCCACGGUAAUACGAAGGGUGCAAGCGUUACUCGGAAUUACUGGGCGUAAAGCGUGCGUAGGUGGUGGUUUAAGUCCGUUGUGAAAGCCCUGGGCUCAACCUGGGAAUUGCAGUGGAUACUGGGUCACUAGAGUGUGGUAGAGGAUAGUGGAAUUUCCGGUGUAGCAGUGAAAUGCGUAGAGAUCGGAAGGAACAUCUGUGGCGAAGGCGACUAUCUGGGCCAACACUGACACUGAGGCACGAAAGCGUGGGGAGCAAACAGGAUUAGAUACACCUGUAGUCCCUGUCUCUUAUAC